GAUGAACGCUGGCGGCGUGCCUAAUACAUGCAAGUCGAGCGAACAGACGAGGAGCUUGCUCCUCUGACGUUAGCGGCGGACGGGUGAGUAACACGUGGAUAACCUACCUAUAAGACUGGGAUAACUUCGGGAAACCGGAGCUAAUACCGGAUAAUAUAUUGAACCGCAUGGUUCAAUAGUGAAAGACGGUUUUGCUGUCACUUAUAGAUGGAUCCGCGCCGCAUUAGCUAGUUGGUAAGGUAACGGCUUACCAAGGCAACGAUGCGUAGCCGACCUGAGAGGGGGAUCGGCCACACUGGAACUGAGACACGGUCCAGACUCCUACGGGAGGCAGCAGUAGGGAAUCUUCCGCAGUGGGCGAAAGCCUGACGGAGCAACGCCGCGUGAGUGAUGAAGGUCUUCAGAUCGUAAAACUCUGUUAUUAGGGAAGAACAAAUGUGUAAGUAACUAUGCACGUCUUGACGGUACCUAAUCAGAAAGCCACGGCUAACUACGU
rnacentral:rRNA from 1 species